rnacentral:rRNA from 1 species
UACAGAGGGUGCAAGCGUUAAUCGGAAUUACUGGGCGUAAAGAGCGCGUAGGCGGGUUCUUAAGUGAGAGGUGAAAGGUUCAGGGCUCAACCCGAACAGUGCCUUUCAUACUGGGAGCCUUGAGUGUGGGAGAGGCGAGUGGAAUUUCUGGUGUAGCGGUGAAAUGCGUAGAUAUCAGAAGGAACACCCAUGGCGAAGGCAGCUCGCUGGCCCUACAACUGACGCUGAGGCGCGAAAGCGUGGGGGAGCAAACAGG